GGGGUCAUAGUUAAAAUUGGAAAAACAUAUCGUUCGCAACGAUAAAUUGUGGGUUCAAAUCCCACUGACUCCA
rnacentral:tRNA from 1 species